rnacentral:rRNA from 1 species
AUGGACUGCGACAUUUCAUCCAUGGAGGACCAGGUGCCGAGGAUCGACUCGAAAUCGACAUCGGGGGCAGAGGCAGAGGCAGAGGCGGCAACAGGUCCAGAUACCAAUGUGUCGACGAUUGAAUCAAAUCUCUCAGCAUCAGACAAGUCAACACCCAAACCUGCAGAUCAUGUUCCCAUCAACAGAGGCGAUGAUGUUGUUGAGAAGAUGGACACAGGCAAAUCAGCCCAACAAUUAGCCAGUGAGGCUGAGAAGAUGGCCACCCAACAGAAGGAAUUUGCUCAGUACGCUGAUGCCUGGGAUGCUAAAUGGGGAUCCAAUGGGUUCGGUCUCUUCCAUUACAUGACGACGGUCAGUUCCAUGCAAUAUGCACACUUGAUACCCGGGAGCGCCCCAAGGCACAAUUGUCGAGCCGCGCCUAGCCUCCAGGUCGUCUCCAUCAGACUGGCAGAAAUUCAAGGUGGACUGGAAUGGCCGUUGCCAGUGUACGGUAUGAUUGCUGUCAGAGACCACGUGGAUCACAAUCGCAACCUUCUGUUUGCCUGCUAUAGGAGCAGGUGUCAGAUACUCAAGGAAAAGGAGCCCUUUUUGGCCUUGACUGGCCCGUCCCGUGCAAUUGUGUGCAAGGAAUCGGUUGACUUUGAAAUCCAACUGAAAGUAAGAGGUACAACAGUCUGA